AGCAGCCGCGGUAAUUCCAGCUCCAAUAGCGUAUAUUAAAGUUGUUGCAGUUAAAAAGCUCGUAGUUGAAUUUCGGGGUUAGUAGGUUGGUCAUGCCUCUGGUAUGUACUGGUCUCACUGAUUCCUCCUUCCUGAUGAGCCGUAAUGCCAUUAAUUUGGUGUUGCGGGGAAUUUGGACUGUUACUUUGAAAAAAUUAGAGUGUUUAAAGCAAGCUAACGCUUGAAUACAUUAGCAUGGAAUAAUGAAAUAGGACGUUCGAUCCUAUUUUGUUGGUUUCUAGGAUUGACGUAAUGAUUAAUAGGGAUAGUUGGGGGCAUUAGUAUUCAAUUGUCAGAGGUGAAAUUCUUGGAUCUAUUGAAGACUAACUACUGCGAAAGCAUUUGCCAAGGAUGUUUUCAUUAAUCAAGAACGAAAGUUAGGGGAUCGAAGACGAUCAGAUACCGUCGUAGUCUUAACCAUAAACUAUGCCGACUAGGAAUCAGACGAUGUUAAUUUUUUAAUGACUCGUUUGGCACCUUACG
rnacentral:rRNA from 1 species